rnacentral:tmRNA from 1 species
ACACUUCACAUUCAGGAUUGGCUCGCUAUAUCGGCAGCGUCGGGAAACCGACUAUGGCGAUAAAUGGUGCUGUGCAAUAGGCACAACGGACCCGGGGGCAGUACCCGGCGGCUCCACCAGAAGCGGCGGCCUCUUGCAAAGGCUGGCCGCAACUCCUGAUGGGGCCGAACCAGGAUCGACGUGUGUUGAAAGGCAGUGUUUUCGCCCGGGCUGAGUAACCCGUUAAAGGCUCAAAACCAUAAGUGCCAACGACAACGAAGCACUUGCUCUCGCUGCGUAAUGUGACGGCCUAACGGCCUGAAUUUACAAAGCCUAGAGCGCGGUUGGACCGACCGGUCACCAGAACGGAUUCCGGGGGCCCGGGGGAGCCUAUCAACAGAAUCCCCCACC